rnacentral:lncRNA from 1 species
AUGAGGAAGGCCAAGGCCCAUUUGGAGUUUAAUUUGUCAGGGGAUAUCAAGGACAACAAGAAGGGCUUCUUCAAAUACAUCAGUAGCAAGAGGAAGACUAGGGAAAAUGUGGGCCUGUUGCUGAAUGGGGUGGGUGCCCUGGUGACGAAGGAUGCAGAGAAGGCAGAGUUACUGAAUGCCUUCUUUGCUUCAGUCUUUACUGCCCAGGCCAGCCCUCAGGAACCCCAGACCGUGGAGGCAAGAAAGAAAGUCUGGAGAAAGGAAGACUUUCCCUUGGUGGAGGAGGAUCGGGUUAGAGAUCAUUUAAGCAAACUUGACACCCACAAAUCCAUGGGUCCUAUUGGGAUGCACGCACAAGUGCUGAGGGAGCUGGCGGACAUUAUUGCUAAGCCACUCUCCAUCAUCUUUGAAAGGUUGUGGAGAACAGGAGAGGAGCCUGAGGACUGGAAGAAAGCCAAUGUCACCCCAGUCUUCAAAAAGGGCAAGAAGGAGGACCCAGGGAACUACAGGCCAGUCAGCCUCACCUGCAUCCCUGGAAAGGUGAUGGAGCAGCUCAUCCUGGAGGCCAUCUCUAAGCAUGCGGAGGAAAAGAAGGUGAUCAGGAGUAGUCAGCAUGAAUUCACGAAGGAGAAAACAUGCUUAGCCAACCUGAUAGCCUUCUCUGAUGGAAUGACUGGCUGGGUAGAUGAGGGGAGAGCAGUGGAUGUUGUCUCCCCUGACUUCAGCAAGGCUUUUCACACUGUCUCCCAUAGCAUCCUCAUAGACAAGCUCAGGAAGUGUGGGCUAGAUGAGUGGACAGUGAGGUGGAUUGGGAACUGGCUGAGUGGCAGAGCUCAGAGGGUUGUGAUCAGCAGUGCAGGGUCUAGUUGGAGGCCUGUAGCUAGUGGUGUCCCCCCUGGGGGUCAGUACUGGGUCCAGUCUUGUUCAACUUCUUCAUCAGUGACCUGGAUGAAGGGACAGAGUGCACCCUCAGCAAGUUUGUUGAUGAUACAAAACUGGGAGGAGUGGCUGAUACRCCAGAGGGCUGURYUGCCAUUCAGAAGGACCUUGACAGGCUGCAGAGAUGGGCACAGAGGAACCUCAUGA